GGUGGUUCUUGGGUAGCACACCCUGGAAUCAGGCUCCCUCCUCUCUGGGUCCAAGUGCAUCACCCAAGAACUGCA
rfam:Myotis davidii contig85316, whole genome shotgun sequence.